rnacentral:rRNA from 1 species
AACGAACGCUGGCGGCGCGCCUAAUACAUGCAAGUCGAGCGAGAAGACGUAGCAAUACGUUUGUAAAGCGGCGAACGGGUGAGGAACACAUGGGUAACCUACCCUAGAGUGGGGAAUAACUAGCCGAAAGGUUAGCUAAUACCGCGUACGCUCCUUGGACUUCGGUACAGGGAGGAAAGCGAUACCGUGGGUAUCGCGCUCUUGGAUGGGCUCAUGUCCUAUCAGCUUGUUGGUGAGGAACGGCUCACCAAGGCUUCGACGGGUAGCUGGUCUGAGAGGACGAUCAGCCACACUGGCACUGCGACACGGGCCAGACUCCUACGGGAGCAGCAGUAAGGAAUAUUGCGCAAUGGGCGAAAGCCUGACGCAGCGACGCCGC